rnacentral:lncRNA from 1 species
GUCAAUGAAAUGUGUCAUCAAACUCAUAUAAGUCAAAUUUUGUGACGAAGUCCAUGUGUCUGUAGUGAGGCAAACCCUUUGACAAUGUUGUCAAAAAAAGCUCUUCAAUUUUACUUUUUCACUACUCCAAAGACUAAGAACAUCCCUACCAAGGUAGUGCAUGAGAUGACAACAAGAAAGGGUGCUACAAUGCUAAAAAAUUCUCGAAAGGCUUCAUGC